GACGUAGGAGGCGAGCGUUGUCCGGAUUCAUUGGGCGUAAAGAGCGCGCAGGCGGCUUGGUAAGUCGGAUGUGAAAUCCCGAGGCUCAACCUCGGGUCUGCAGUCGAUACGGGCAAACUGGAGUGUUGCAGGGGAGACUGGAAUUCCUGGUGUAGCGGUGAAAUGCGCAGAUAUCAGGAGGAACACCGGUGGCGAAGGCGGGUCUCUAGUACGGUACUGACGCUGAGACGCGAAAGCGUGGGGAGCGAACAGG
rnacentral:rRNA from 1 species